rnacentral:rRNA from 1 species
GUGAACGCUGGCGGUAGGCCUCACACCUGCAAGUCGAACGGCAGCACCGUAAGAGCUUGCUCUUACGGGUGGCGAGUGGCGGACGGGUGAGGAAUACAUCGGAAUCUACUUUUUCGUGGGGGAUAACGUAGGGAAACUUACGCUAAUACCGCAUACGACCUACGGGUGAAAGCAGGGGAUCUUCGGACCUUGCGCGAUUGAAUGAGCCGAUGUCGGAUUAGCUAGUUGGCGGGGUAAAGGCCCACCAAGGCGACGAUCCGUAGCUGGUCUGAGAGGAUGAUCAGCCACACUGGAACUGAGACACGGUCCAGACUCCUACGGGAGGCAGCAGUGGGGAAUAUUGGACAAUGGGCGCAAGCCUGAUCCAGCCAUACCGCGUGGGUGAAGAAGGCCUUCGGGUUGUAAAGCCCUUUUGUUGGGAAAGAAAAGCAGCAGGUUAAUACCCCGCUGUUCUGACGGUACCCAAAGAAUAAGCACCGGCUAACUUCGUG